CUUCAUAGCACUGCACACUGCUUCCAUCACCAGUCACAUCCACAACUGGACAUUUGCUUUGGCUCUAUCUCUUCAUUCUUUCUGAAGUUAUUUCUCCACUCUUGUCCAGUAGCAUUUUGGGCACUUACCGAGAUGUUGGGAAAAAACCUGAACUGCUGACCUGGGCAGAUUCCCACAGAUGAGAGAGAAAUUUUUGAAGUCCAGCCUUCCUGAAGGGAGAUUCCAGCAUGCAAUUGGUGCUAUGGAGAGGAUGCCAAAGAAGCUGAAGUUGACUGGUGCUAUGAAGAUCUAUAACAACUAGUACUAACACCAAAAAAGAGAUGUCCUUUUUCUCAUAGGAGAUUGGAAUGCAAAAGUAGAAGGUGAUUCACACAAGCUGGGAUUUGGUUCUCACCUUCAAAGAAAAUGUCCUGAAGUAAAGGAGAGUUUUGGUGCAGUAUUCAAAGGAUACAUUUUCUAGCUGCUGCUUGUGUCUGCUUGUGUUCACUGACUACUUUUCCAGGCUGGAUUCUGCUCCUUCUUGGCUAAGAUUCUGAGGCCUGCUGCCUUCCUUCUUAAGCCUGUGAGGUUCUCUGGUUCCUGUUAGCUUUGUAGGCUACCUUAAGCAUCAGUGACUUCUGAUAUCAUAAGUAUAUACUCUUAUUCCAAUUCUUUGGGUACUUGAUCCUCAACUCAAACACUGUCACCAACUUCCAUACUCAAGGGGAGCCUUUCCCCAUCUUUUUGGUCCCUUGUUCUAAUGCCAGCUCCCCUGUUACACCUCCUGACAUCUGAGCACAUAAGCUGUUGCCCAUGGCCUGGCAAAUUGUUGAGUAAUCAAAUUGUUGAACAUCUUGAUGCUGUCUGGACUACCCCAAAGAUGAAUAUGAAUGAAGCUGCUAUUGAGUUUGAAAAACCUUGAGUCCCUGGUGGAAAAAAAUGGAUAAUCACUAAAGUUACAUAAUUUUGAACUGCGUGCAAUAAUCAGCUCUCCUCUGGAAUCAUAAUGAAAAGAUAUGAUUACACUUUUAAUUAGGAAAUUAUCAUAAUUUGUACUGAAAUAAAAAA
ensembl:lncRNA